rnacentral:lncRNA from 1 species
AUAAUUUCAAACAACUCUGCCUGCUUUGUUUUUGAAACUGGAAAUUAGUUUCCAAACAAGAGUUUGGCCAGUGCUUUUCCACAUGCCCUCUGGGGGAGAUUCUCUGUUAUAUAAGCCCCAACAGAUCUGCAAGCAGAGCAACAGGACUGGGCUCCAUUUGGAAACGGAGAAUCUACUGCUGAGCAGACAGCGAGACAUCAACCCAACGGACAGAAACCAUGUUUAAAUUCAAUCUUUCAGAGGAAACCUCCAAGAUAGGUAACACUGCACAGGACACAGUUAACUCAGCAGGGCAGGCUGUGCAGCACGUUCUGGAUCAGGUGACAGAAACUGGUCAGAAAGUGAUUGAUGACACCUGCAAAAGUGCGCAAGAAACUGGUGAAAAAGCGGUGCAAAAAGCAGCAGGUGAGAUAACGGCGUGGGGAAAAAGUUUCAGCGAGAGCGGCCAGAAGAAGACCGAAGAAAAGAAGAAUGUUUCAACCUAAAUUGGCCUGGUCCUCCUUUUGGCACAUUGGAAACGAUCCAAUUAUCUUUGAUGCGUUGGAAAUGAUCUUCCCAUGGCUACCCUGUUAGAUGUAUUUGACACCUUCAUUGAAGGUUAAAUUAUAUAUUGCGUAAAUUUUGUCGCUGUUAUCAAACAUUAAAAAAAAAUAGUUUCAGAGUGA